rnacentral:rRNA from 1 species
CUCCGCUUACUCGGGGAUAGCCUUUCGAAAGAAAGAUUAAUACCCGAUGGUAUAAAGAGUUCGCAUGUUCUCUUUAUUAAAGAAUUUCGGUAAGCGAUGGGGAUGCGUUCCAUUAGAUAGUUGGCGGGGUAACGGCCCACCAAGUCUACGAUGGAUAGGGGUUCUGAGAGGAAGGUCCCCCACAUUGGAACUGAGACACGGUCCAAACUCCUACGGGAGGCAGCAGUGAGGAAUAUUGGUCAAUGGACGAGAGUCUGAACCAGCCAAGUAGCGUGAAGGAUGACUGCCCUAUGGGUUGUAAACUUCUUUUAUAAGGGAAUAAAGUGAGGGACGUGUCCCUUUUUGUAUGUACCUUAUGAAUAAGAUCGGC